ACAGAUACAAAAUAUCUCCAUAUACCGAGAGGGAGAGCAGGGGAGGGAGAGGGCGGGCACAACAUGCUGCUGGAAAUACAUGCAAAAGAGGGAGAAUAAACAGAAAAAGAAGGAAAAGCCUGAAGGGAAACCUCCUAAAGUCAGCCCAAAGCGAAUGGAUUGAGAGUCAGGAAGCCCUGGGUGGCCAGUGAGAGAGACACCAGGAGCCAAGAUGAAGGAGAAGGCAAUGAUCAAAACGGCGAAAAUGCAGGGGAACGUCCUGGUGAGUGACUACUGGGGGUAAACUGCAGGCUGUGAGAGACUAC
rnacentral:lncRNA from 1 species